rnacentral:rRNA from 1 species
UACGAAGGGGGCAAGCGUUGCUCGGAAUCACUGGGCGUAAAGCGCACGUAGGCGGGUUGCUAAGUCAGGGGUGAAAUCCUGGAGCUCAACUCCAGAACUGCCCUUGAUACUGAAGAUCUUGAGUUCGGGAGAGGUGAGUGGAACUGCGAGUGUAGAGGUGAAAUUCGUAGAUAUUCGCAAGAACACCAGUGGCGAAGGCGGCUCACUGGCCCGAUACUGACGCUGAGGCACGAAAGCGUGGGGAGCAAACAGG